rnacentral:rRNA from 1 species
AUUGAACGCUGGCGUCAGGCCUAACACAUGCAAGUCGAGCGGGGACUUCGGUCCUAGCGGCGAACGGGUGAGUAAUGCUUGGGAAUCUGCCCAGUAGUGGGGGAUAACGUCCCGAAAGGGACGCUAAUACCGCAUACGUCCUACGGGAGAAAGAGGGGGAUCUUCGGACCUCUCGCUAUUGGAUGAGCCCAAGUCGGAUUAGCUAGUUGGUAGGGUAAUGGCCUACCAAGGCGACGAUCCGUAGCUGGUCUGAGAGGAUGAUCAGCCACACUGGAACUGAGACACGGUCCAGACUCCUACGGGAGGCAGCAGUGGGGAAUAUUGGACAAUGGGCGAAAGCCUGAUCCAGCCAUGCCGCGUGUGUGAAGAAGGCCUUCGGGUUGUAAAGCACUUUAAGCGGGGAGGAAGGUUCGCGGCCUAAUACGUCGCGGAAUUGACGUUACCCGCAGAAUAAGCACCGGCUAACUCUGUG